GCUCAUUAUAGAAGCAGAAAACCUAAAAACUAGCACAAUUAUAACCAAGCUAUAAAGUCCUCAGAUUAACUCAAGCGUUGCUUGGCCAAAGAGUCCACCACCCAGUUAGCUUCCCUUGGGAUGUGCCGAAUAACAUAAGUAGGAAGAGAUCUAAAAUUGUUGACAAUUGAAUUAUACAUGGAGUGCAGAUGCUAAGGAACUAAAUCCAAAUUAUUUGAUUAAGCCACUGCAUUUUUCGAAUCAGAUUCGACAACCACUCCACAAGAAGAGGACAAAAAUGUAGGAUUCAACAAUAAUAGACUCAAUGCUUUAUUAAUGGCUGUAAACUCCGUAGAAUUUAAAUCAUGUCACCCUACAAAUUAGACAUGAAAAAAUACAUAAAAAAAAUUCCCAGAAUCAUCAUGAAGAAGCCCUACUAUUGAGCCAGGACCAGGUUUCCCAAGAGAAAGCCAUCAACAUUCCACUUUAUCUAAUUAGAAUUAGGAGGAGACAAGGAAAUGCUUGGCCGAGAUUUAGAAGCAUUAAACCAACACUUAAUAGCAUCUGGAGAGGGAAGCAAAUCAAGGUCAGUAUAUGGAAAACUGGCAUCCAAAGCCCUUAACCAUACAGCAACUCGGAAAGAAUUAAACAACAAGGGGAUCUUUAGAAUUCUUAUUUUCAAACACCUUUUCAUUCCUUGCAAUCCAAAGAGACAAAAGAAUGGCAUGCCCAAGAGUUAGCCAAAAUUUCACCUAAAAAAAUACCAGAAACUAAAGCUCUCCAUUUAGUAAGAAGAUCAAGAAUCAAAUUAGGAAUGCAAAAAUCCAAACCCCACCAUUUCAAGAACCAUGACCACGUCAACCAGGAAGAUCAAGUGAGCAUAAACGGUCUCUUGAGCAAAGCCUCCCAUGAUAGAUUAACCAAAUUAAAAUUUCAACCGUUGAAGGAGCAAGGCCCAACCAAAUUUGAGACGCAAAAGGCAGCAUAGCACAACUAGCACUAACAAGGCACUUGCAAAA
rnacentral:misc_RNA from 1 species